rnacentral:rRNA from 2 species
CUUGGUCAUUUAGAGGAAGUAAAAGUCGUAACAAGGUUUCCGUAGGUGAACCUGCGGAAGGAUCAUUAAUGAAUCACAAGUCGGUCGUCUGUGCUGGUGGAAACACAUGUGCACGUCGGCCGCAAAUCCACACACCUGUGCACCUUUGACUUUGGGAUCCGCUCGCCGGCUUGUCCGGCUUGCAGUCGACCGGUUUUGCGCCGGUCUGGGUUCCGAAGUACUUUUACACACGCUGUAUGUAAUGGAAUGCCUCUGUGCAAAUGCGCAAUCUAAAACAACUUUCAACAACGGAUCUCUUGGCUCUCGCAUCGAUGAAGAACGCAGCGAAAUGCGAUAAGUAAUGUGAAUUGCAGAACCCAGUGAAUCAUCGAAUCUUUGAACGCACCUUGCACCCUUUGGUAUUCCGAGGGGUACGCCCGUUUGAGUGUCAUUGUAAUCUCACUCCGACCGCCUUUGCUGGCUGGCCGGAGGUGGACCUGGACCCUGCCGCGUCACUGCGGCUGGUCUGAAAUGCAUGAGUGUACCCUGCCGAUGCAGCGUCUUCAGUGUGAUAAACAUCCUCACUGAGUCAAGUUCCCCCUGUGGGACACGCACGCUCGAUGGGCUCUGCGCUUCGAACCGUCCGCAAGGACAACCUUGACAACUUGACCUCAAAUCGGGUGGGACUACCCGCUGAACUUAAGCAUAUCAAUAAGCGGAGGA